GAUUCAUGGCACAAUGGGUCAAUGUGCCUGGCUGUUAACCAGAAGGUUGGUGGUUCAAGCUCACCCAGGGACA